GGGCUCAGAUAUCAACCAAGUGUCUUUCCAUCUCUUCGUGGCCAAUUGAUGGUGACAGAUAAUUAGCUUGAAUUGUUAAAAGUAUAGUUCCUAUGGUAUCUUCAGAAUCUCAAUAUGCCAAAUACGUGAUCUUCAGGAAGUAAACUAUUCAACUGUAGAUGGAUAAGACAGAAGGUUAAACUGCUCCAAACAGCCAUGAAACAUAACAGGUGAUGAUAGGUUAAGUCUCUCAGAACUUUGGAAUCUGACCACAUAACAGGAACCUGUAAUCUUCUCUUCUGAGAUCAUUUCUAUGGGAAAGGGACACAGGUGGCUAGAAGUCUGUCCUAUACAUGGAUCCUGGUAUAACAUGGACAAAAGAGGAAACAAAAGAAUGAAAGAAAAGAGAACAAGGAACAUAAAAAAAGGAAACAAGAAAAGUAAAGAUUUCAGGAUGAAAAUAGGAAACAAGAUAUUGAAACAAGGAAACAAGGCAUGAUAUUUUAAAAUGCUACCCAAGCCUAUCUCAGUCACUGGCCAAGCCUCACUACAGUGCUGUCUCCUGCCAUACCCAAGGGACUCCAUUCUAGGAAGACCAUAGGCUACUUUCCUCAAGGUGCCAUGCAAAGAUACUUCAUUAUGAGACUCAUUAAGCAGAUGCUAUUGAUGGCACAUUCAAAUCUUCACCCCACCUUUCCUCAAUAGCACAGCCCCCAGUUUUAUUCAUGUAUUCAUCUUCCCCUGGGAAGCCUGUGCUCCAGAAAGGUAAACUUAUUCAUAGACCCAGGUGAGGGUAUCUUGAUUAGUUAGUACAUCUAUUUCCCUUGCCAAUGACUGGUUUAAGGAGGUGCGGUCACCCAAUCCUGGCCAGCGAAACAUGAAGAAAAGUCUGUGGAUGGGCUUCAAGGAAAUGGUCAUCACCUAUACAAAGAGACAUACUGGAAGGAAUGACCUUGUUUUUCCAAUGAACACUGUCAUUACUUCAUGCUAUACCUGGAACUUCGGCAGCAGUCAUUCUCAAACCUUUGGGACAAAGCCACCAUGUAAGAGGAAUACUGAAAGAACCCGAGUUCCUGGUAUCAUCACUGAGCCCCUGAAUUACCAGAUGCUGAAAACUGCUUUGUGCCUGGACAUUUUUUUUUAAUGAGAGACUAAAUUCCUUGUUUCUUACAGCGUUUUGUUUCUUACAGUCAAAAGCCUCCUAACUGUUCUAUGUUUACAUGUUCAUAAAUUCAAAAAAUAGUGUUUCAACCAAGCAAAGCUUUUUGUAUACCUUCUGCUUCUUACAACAGCCUGACAGCUAAGAACCUCUUGAAAC
rnacentral:lncRNA from 10 species